UUUAUUUUUUUUCUGCCUGACAGUCUAGUUCACUUUUUUCCCUCUUUUUUACUUUUUUCGAGCAAUAAACAAAAUCCGUCCUCUUAAUAUUAGGAUUCUGCCGGGCCUCCCUCGUGGCGCGGUGGUUCGGCUGCCGAUCUCUAAGUUGCUGUGGGGCGCGGGAUAAAUUCCCGCCUUAUCCUCCUGGCCUUCUAUCGGAUGGGGAAGUAAAACGUCAGUACAUUUGCGUAAAAAAGGUUUGGGGUGACUCAACACAAAUAACCUUCGGACGCCUAGAAAUAAGCAGAAACUUGCAAUAGAGACCGCAAAAGACCCGGGGGUCGUUUAAGUGGAUUGCUCUGCUUUUUUUGCAUUUUGAGAUUCGGAAUUAUAGGCAAUUUAAUAAUUUUCAUAAUUAUUUAUGCGUUUGUAAUUUUCUGUCGCAUUCAAAUAAGAAAAUCACCCUUUGGAAGUCGCGUUUUCAGCCUCCAUUACACUCAUUUUUACAAACAGUACACAAAGUACACUUGCACGACUGCCGAAAGAUACAAAAAAAGUUAUUUUCUUCAAAAAAUAACCUAAACAUGGAUACAACUCGUAAAUGGUGCCCCCUUUUUAGAAAUUGACAGAAAUAAUUUUCGAUUAUAUUUCAUAAAAAAAGAUGGCUUGACACGAAUUGUUGUCAAACGAACAACGGGGUCACUUUUUAGUUUGACACCCUCUUUACACGGAACUCACACACACUACCAAACAUAUAGUAUGAUAGUAAGUGUGAGUCCCGUAUAAAAAGUGACAGUUCAUCACUUUUUAGUUUGACUUUGACCAACCACUAAAAAAGUGUCAAAUGAAAAAGUGAUCAACCACCGGGGGUUGAGACUAUCAAAAACUUCGUAUUCGUAUACGUUCGCAAUCGGCACAGUUUAGUCCUAAAACAGGGUGGCCACCUCGGGAAAAAACCGGGAAAACCGGGAAAAAACCGGGAUUUUUAUCCACCGGGAGAAAACCGGGAAAAACUCGGGAAUUCGACCGACAAACCGGGAAAAUAUUUUAAGUUUCGUUAAAAUUUGACAAAAGACUCUUUUAUGUAUUCAAUAUGUUCUUUUCUCAAUAAGAAUAUUAUUCCUGUUAUUCUAAAUGAAGAAUUCGCGAAAUCUAUGUUUGAAUUUAUGUGAUAUACUCAUGCUUCUUGGCUAUGGAUUUUUUUUUCUGUUGUAUCCUAUGAUACUUUUACCAGACGAAUUUGUUUUUUUUAAUAAAGAAAAUGUUUGCUCUACCAGCGGUUCUCAACCUGGGGUACAUGUACCCCUGGGGGUACCACGAGCGGUCUCAGGGGGUCCGGAAGACAAACCCCGUAAUGGCGGAUAUUUACCCCAUCUUUGCUAAAAUAUUAGUUUUGCAUAAAAUUAAAAUUAGGAUUUUUUUGUAAGUGGAAAAUAUGGAUAUCAUGGUACGAAAACAACAUUACAGUAAAUAUCUCUCUAAAUUUAAAGAUCAAGACUUUUCCUUCAAAUUGUCACACAAAAUACACUCUUUUAAAAUAUUUUUCUUGGCCUGUAUCUCAGCAACAAAAGAAUGGAUCAAAAAUGUUCAAAAAAGAAUGCUGUAAAGAAUUUUCUCAACCAUUUGAUUUUUUAGAGAUAAAAUAGAAUUAUUUUUUAAUUGAAAAUAGCUACAACUUCAAAAAAGUAUGUGUAGUAUGUUUAAAUCUGAAAAAAAAAUAUAAAAAUUCAAAGAACAAGCCAUAGUCUCAACAUUUGAAUGCAAAAAGUGUUAAAAAUGCAUUUUACGCUAGUUCAGUUGUUUUGCAAUCAGAAGUCUUCAAAAAAUGCAAGAUUUGACGAAAACAAAAAAAAAGAACGAAUAAAAAAAUAAAGAUCGAAAAUUUUCAAAAAUUCAAAAGAUUAUUAAAUCAACCCAAACAUGCUUAAAAAUUAUUCUAGACGCAAGGGAAUGCAUUUUAAAUUGAUUUCAGCUGAUUGCACUUAAAUUUUCAUUAAAAUUUUGAUGCUUUAUGAAAAAAAAAAAAUAAUUUUUUGUCCCCUGAUUUUUCGGGGCAACAAAAACUUUAAAUAAAAUGUGUACCCGCCUUAUGUGUUGUUGAAAAACUCACAGCACGAUAAUUUUUUAAUUGUUUUUACCAUUAUGUGUUUUGGGUUUUUUAGAAAGUAUUUUUUAUUAAAAUUAUUCUAAAAAGAAAGUUUCAAGGUAUCGAUUUUUUUACAUUUGUAUGGCACUUUUCCUGCGCUGCUGCCAAAGUGUAUACAUUUUUGUUUAGACUAAUGAUGCAAAAAGACUUUUUUGGUUAAAAAGAAAGUACUCACAUAAUUUUAGCAAAAAAAAAUUCACAGAAAUUGAUAAUUCUUGGAAGAAUUGUUCUUUUUGAAUUCACAAAACCUUUUUUCAAAGAAAAUUAACGAGCAUUUACAUCAAUGUUGAUAGCAACGUAUUUUUGUAAAUCUAUUUUACAAAAUUCAUAAAUUCUUUUUAUAAUUUAUCUUAUUUAAAAAAAUAAAAACGACUUUUGAUGAAAAAACCCAAUAAUUUGAAAAUUAGAGGUUUGAUUGAUAACAGAUAAAAACGGCUUCGUUUACAACUUACUUACUUUUUACUCAAGAUUUGAAAGCUUUCUUGAGGAAUUCAAACUUUGAACCAAAUGUAUGCGUUCAAAAAGUAUGAUGAUAUUAACGUUAGCCUAAAAAACAUUGUAAUUU